AGGGAAUCUCAGAAAUAUUAAAUGGACACUCAUUUGCAUUAUACUACAUCUGCUUUUUGUGUUAGUAUAUGUGCCAAGUUGCAUGCGUGGAAAAAUAUGUACCAGACAGAUUCAUCCUGCAAUUCUUUUUUUUGGUUUGUUUAGUUUAUUACAAGGGGGGAGUCGCUUGCCACAAUUUGAUGUUCGUAUGAAUUUAAGCACUUGACUGCCAUCUACUGCUUCCCCUUAGCACUUCAGGGAAAUGAUAAUGCACAUUCUCUAUGGAAACAAAAAUAUUGCCACCACCAUGAAAACAUUUGUUGAAGCAUCAACAAUAUAUUUCCCAUUUUCACAGAAAAUAUGCAAUGCCCUAUUUUAUUGGCUUUAUAAUGUCAAUAUCAUAUGUCCGAGAACAUUAAUAAAAUGUAAGACGAGAAACAAAACAGAAUAGUUAAUGUGCUAAAUGAAUACAAAAACCCCCCCAAAAAACAGCAUUGUAGG